rnacentral:tRNA from 1 species
GGCGACAUAGCCAAGUGGUAAGGCAGAGGUCUGCAAAAUCUCUAUUCCCUAGUUCGAGUCUAGGUGUCGCCUCCA